AGGUCGUGUUGAGGGUAAUUCCUUAUCAUUCGCUUGUACCUCUCCCAAGCUUCGUACAAAGAUUCACCAUCAUGUUGUUGGAAGUUUGCGAUAUUAUUUUCAACUU